GUCGAGCGGGCGUAGCAAUACGUCAGCGGCAGACGGGUGAGUAACGCGUGGGAACGUACCUUUUGGUUCGGAACAACACAGGGAAACUUGUGCUAAUACCGGAUAAGCCCUUACGGGGAAAGAUUUAUCGCCGAAAGAUCGGCCCGCGUCUGAUUAGCUAGUUGGUGAGGUAAUGGCUCACCAAGGCGACGAUCAGUAGCUGGUCUGAGAGGAUGAUCAGCCACAUUGGGACUGAGACACGGCCCAAACUCCUACGGGAGGCAGCAGUGGGGAAUAUUGGACAAUGGGGGCAACCCUGAUCCAGCCAUGCCGCGUGAGUGAUGAAGGCCCUAGGGUUGUAAAGCUCUUUUGUGCGGGAAGAUAAUGACGGUACCGCAAGAAUAAGCCCCGGCUAACUUCGUGCCAGCAGCCGCGGUAAUACGAAGGGGGCUAGCGUUGCUCGGAAUCACUGGGCGUAAAGGGUGCGUAGGCGGGUCUUUAAGUCAGGGGUGAAAUCCUGGAGCUCAACUCCAGAACUGCCUUUGAUACUGAAGAUCUUGAGUUCGGGAGAGGUGAGUGGAACUGCGAGUGUAGAGGUGAAAUUCGUAGAUAUUCGCAAGAACACCAGUGGCGAAGGCGGCUCACUGG
rnacentral:rRNA from 1 species